UCCGUAGGUGAACCUGCGGAAGGAUCAUUAAAGAUUGACCGAAAGGUCUUAUCUCUAUAUCCCUCACCUCUGUGAACUGUGGACCUCCGGGUCUGUCUUAACAAACAUCAGUGUAAUGAACGUAUAAAUCAUUAAACAAAACAAAACUUUCAACAACGGAUCUCUUGGCUCUCGCAUCGAUGAAGAACGCAGCGAAAUGCGAUAAGUAAUGUGAAUUGCAGAAUUCAGUGAAUCAUCGAAUCUUUGAACGCACCUUGCGCCUUUUGGUAUUCCGAAAGGCAUGCCUGUUUGAGUGUCAUGAAAUCUCAAUCCCCCCGGGUUUAUGAUCUGGUCGGGACUUGGACAUGGGCGUCUGCCGGUCACACGGCUCGCCUCAAAUGACUUAGUGGAUCUCUCUGCAUCCGUGACAGACGUAAUAAGUUUCGUCUUGUCCCUUGCGUACGAGUCCGCUCAUAACCUGCCAUCGCGCACUUUAGACUCUGACCUCAAAUCAGGUAGGACUACCCGCUGAACUUAAGCAUAUCAAUAAGCGGAGGA
rnacentral:sRNA from 1 species